rnacentral:rRNA from 1 species
AGAACGAACGCUGGCGGCAUGCCUAACACAUGCAAGUCGAACGAGACCUUCGGGUCUAGUGGCGCACGGGUGCGUAACGCGUGGGAAUCUGCCCUUAGGUUCGGAAUAACAGUUAGAAAUGACUGCUAAUACCGGAUAAUGUCUUCGGACCAAAGAUUUAUUGCCUAAGGAUGAGCCCGCGUAAGAUUAGCUUGUUGGUGAGGUAAAGGCUCACCAAGGCGACGAUCUUUAGCUGGUCUGAGAGGAUGAUCAGCCACACUGGGACUGAGACACGGCCCAGACUCCUACGGGAGGCAGCAGUGGGGAAUAUUGGACAAUGGGCGAAAGCCUGAUCCAGCAAUGCCGCGUGAGUGAUGAAGGCCUUAGGUGUAAAGCUCUUUACCCGGGAUGAAUAAUAGACAGUAACCGGAGAAGUAACGCCCCGACUAACUCCGCGACCAGCAGCCGAC